UACGGAGGGUGCGAGCGUUGUCCGGAAUCACUGGGCGUAAAGGGCGCGUAGGCGGCUUCUCAAGCGUGUGGUGAAAGUCCGGGGCUCAACCCCGGAUCGGCCGUGCGGACUGGGGAGCUCGAGUUCCGUAGAGGCGGGUGGAAUUCCGGGUGUAGCGGUGGAAUGCGUAGAGAUCCGGAAGAACACCGGUGGCGAAGGCGGCCCGCUGGGCAGAGACUGACGCUGAGGCGCGACAGCGUGGGGAGCAAACAGG
rnacentral:rRNA from 1 species